CCGGAUCCCAGGAGGACCAACAUGCUCCACACUUAACUUUUAACAAACUUGCUUUUACGGAGAGAGAAGCCACCCUUCGCUCAAGCUGCCGUGGUAAGGGGAGCUCAGAGCCCUGGCCUUCUCCCACACCUCUCACACCUGUGGCAUCUCGCGGAACAGAAACAGCAAGAAUCCAACCCUGAUUGCCUCGGAAGGAAACUGACCAAGCGUUCACAGCCCCUGAGCGGAACAAAGCAGCAUCGGAGAAAGGCGAGGAGCAAGCACGCAUUGAGCCGGGUCACGCUGAGAGACCAGAGAGGUGCACAAGGUUGCAAAGCAGAUAACAUGCUUUCCAGGGAAACGGAGAUCACACAGAAUAUUCUGGAAACGUGAGAACCCUAUGACUAGUGCCUCACCAGCAUCAAGUCUACACAGGCUGCUCACCUCAAGGCAGAGGGCCAGGGUCCCACAGACCCUUCAAGGACGCGCCCUCAGGAACCUGAGGCCCCCCAACCCACCUCCUCAUGGCUCCAGCACCUCCAAACAUGCCCCAGGGGGCCACGUGUGACAGGGCCUGUGGGAGAGGCGCGUCUUGCAAACCACAGCCGGGCUGGCCCACCAGGGGGCUGCGUGCUCUGGAAAGGACGCAGGGCAGGAGGGAACCCCUGUGACUCGGAACACGGGGUGCCGAAGACCAGCAGAGUGGGAACCUCCGCAGCCCAACACGAGCAUUUCCCAAGCUCUCGCAGGGAGCCACCAGGGCUCCCAGGAGCCACCUGUCUCCUUCGAAGCCCUGUUCCAGCAGCCUCUGGAGAUCGCCACUCCGUUUGGGAACAAAUCCAGAAGCAGAAAAUUUAGCAGAUUUACACAGACGUCUAUUCGCUUUAAAACCUUGGAAAGAGAACAGAAAAUGGUCACAAGUGACACACAGGAAAGUCACCCUCACAGCACUGCCUCCUGCAGAAGCCCCGCCAGCAAAGGGCAGGAGCCCCCAGGGCACUGCGGCGCCCACAGGGAGAGGACAGCUGCCAGCCCCAGGUGCCAGGAGCCUCUCCUGACAGAAGCUGCUUCACUUUUUUCCAGGGAAAGAAAUGAACCCCGUCCUCUACAGCGUCUUGAAACCGGGCUAAAUAAAGCACUAAGAAUGCAUUCUGGAAGGAUCUGUACGUCCGCCUGGGGAUGGACCCAGUCACCUGCCAGUUCUUUCCCUCUCUAACGACUGCUCCUGUCUGCCGUUUUAUGGCACCAGCCUCCCUCCUGCCGUUCCAAGACACCCUGAGCUCAUGUACCAAGCAUGGCGAAUGGUGCUUAAUGACACCGGCAGCAGGGCCAGGAGGGCCCCUGCUUGAGGAGACGGUCUCCAUCUUCUCACUUCCUCCAGGGCCUCCUUUCCGGGUGUUUCUGUCUGGGAGGACAGUAAGAUACCCGACGAGCCUAUCUGUACCUGAUCCACAGUCAGACCCUCAGGUUUCAUGGAAUUCAAGCGGUAACACAAAUUCUAAUCUGUUCUUUCCCAAUUUCCCUUCUCCCCAACCCCUUCACACCACUGAGAUUUUCCUGCAAACUGUUGGCCUUUUGUAAUAUUAAACUAAGCCUAAGAGAAAUCUCAC
rnacentral:lncRNA from 1 species